AUCUUCUACCCGUGAGGUUUUCAACUGUUCCAUAUCUUUUAUCAUUUUUAAUAAUUGCCCUGACAGGGCUCUACAUGACUAACUGACUCUGUGUGCUCUGCAGGUCUACAUGACUAACUGACUCUGUGUGCUCUGCAGGUCUACAUGACUAACUGACUCUGUGUGCUCUGCAGGUCUACAUGACUAACUGACUCUGUGCUCUGCAGGUCUACAUGACUAACUGACUCUGUGUGCUCUGCAGGUCUACAUGACUAACUGACUCUGUGUGCUCUGCAGGUCUACAUGACUAACUGACUCUGUGUGCUCUGCAGGUCUACAUGACUAACUGACUGUGUGCUCUGCAGCUCUACAUGACUAACUGACUCUGUGUGCUCUGCAGGUCUACAUGACUAACUGACUCUGUGCUCUGCAGGUCUACAUGACUAACUGACUCUGUGUGCUCUGCAGGUCUACAUGACUAACUGACUCUGUGUGCUCUGCAGGUCUACAUGACUAACUGACUCUGUGUGCUCUGCAGGUCUACAUGACUAACUGACUCUGUGCUCUGCAGGUCUACAUGACUAACUGACUCUGUGUGCUCUGCAGGUCUACAUGACUAACUGACUCUGUGUGCUCUGCAGGUCUACAUGACUAACUGACUCUGUGCUCUGCAGGUCUACAUGACUAACUGACUCUGUGUGCUCUGCAGGUCUACAUGACUAACUGACUCUGUGCUCUGCAGGUCUACAUGACUAACUGACUCUGUGUGCUCUGCAGGUCUACAUGACUAACUGACUCUGUGUGCUCUGCAGCUCUACAUGACUAACUGACUCUGUGUGCUCUGCAGGUCUACAUGACUAACUGACUCUGUGCUCUGCAGGUCUACAUGACUAACUGACUCUGUGUGCUCUGCAGGUCUACAUGACUAACUGACUCUGUGUGCUCUGCAGGUCUACAUGACUAACUGACUCUGUGUGCUCUGCAGGUCUACAUGACUAACUGACUCUGUGUGCUCUGCAGGUCUACAUGACUAACUGACUCUGU